rnacentral:rRNA from 1 species
AGUCCUUAACUGACGCUAAAGCUCGAAAGUGCGGGUAUCGAACAGGAUUAGAUACCCUGGUAGUCCGCACGGUAAACGAUGGAUGCCCGCUGUUGGCGAUACAAUGUCAGCGGCCAAGCGAAAGCGUUAAGCAUCCCACCUGGGGAGUACGCCGGCAACGGUGAAACUCAAAGGAAUUGACGGGGGCCCGCACAAGCGGAGGAACAUGUGGUUUAAUUCGAUGAUACGCGAGGAACCUUACCCGGGCUUGAACUGCCAGCGAACGAUUCAGAGAUGAUGAGGUCCUUCGGGACGCUGGUGGAGGUGCUGCAUGGUUGUCGUCAGCUCGUGCCGUGAGGUGUCGGCUUAAGUGCCAUAACGAGCGCAACCCUUUUCGCCAGUUGCCAUCAGGUCGAGCUGGGCACUCUGGCGAUACUGCCACCGUAGGGUGUGAGGAAGGUGGGGAUGACGUCAAAUCAGCACGGCCUUUACGUCCGGGGCUACACACGUGUUACAAUGGGUGGUACAGAGAGUUGGAUUUACGCAAGUGAGUUCUAAUCCUUAAAGCCAUCCUCAGUUCGGAUUGGGGUCUGCAACCCGACCCCAUGAAGCUGGAUUCGCU